rnacentral:rRNA from 1 species
AUUAAACGCUGGCGGCAUGCCUUACACAUGCAAGUCGAACGGCAGCACGGGGGCAACCCUGGUGGCGAGUGGCGGACGGGUGAGUAAAGCAUCGGAACGUAUCCUGGAGUGGGGGAUAACGUAGCGAAAGUUACGCUAAUACCGCAUAUUCUGUGAGCAGGAAAGCAGGGGAUCGCAAGACCUUGCGCUCUGGGAGCGGCCGAUGUCGGAUUAGUUAGUUGGUGGGGUAAAGGCCUACCAAGGCGACGAUCCGUAGCGGGUCUGAGAGGAUGAUCCGCCACACUGGGACUGAGACACGGCCCAGACUCCUACGGGAGGCAGCAGUGGGGAAUUUUGGACAAUGGGCGCAAGCCUGAUCCAGCCAUGCCGCGUGAGUGAAGAAGGCCUUC